rnacentral:lncRNA from 1 species
CACGGCCAACACCAAUCGUUCUCACAACGGAUUCACACGAACCACUCAUUCGUGACUCUAUGCCAAAUUUCAUCGACAGAGCUAACGGCCAAACCGCUUACCUCGGUUUCCUUGUCACGCCCCAAACCCGAGGCAUAACAGACGCCGCAUAUCUACUAAUUUAGUAAAUAUGCAAGGCUACAAAAUCAGACAAAAUACAUACAAAAGAUGAUCAUAAAAAUAGAAAUCCAAACUGUCGAAAGAUGAGGUCAUCAAUUUAAUUUCAACUAGAAUCAAAGAAAAUCACAUAUAAGCAGAAAUAUAGUUUAUUAUGCAAUUCAAACAAAAUUUAGUCUAACUAGUGCUUUAAGUAACAAAUAUGGGUACGGUGAAAUAACAAAGUAGAAACAGAUAAACAAUGAUUAUCUACGAAGUUCAAAGUUCAUAUCUAAAUGCAAUAGAAAUAAGACGAAGAGGCUAGAAUCAAAUCUAGCUACAUCUAACGUUCACUCGCUCCCAGCCCCGCCCUGCGAAUCGGUCUCAGUAUCUGGGUAAGCAACCAUAUACCACAUUAGUCGGAUUAAGCAUACAAAUAAAUAAGUACACAAAUUAAUUUAAGCGACAGGUUUUUAAUUUGCAAAAUUUUAGAAAAUAAGAAUUUAUCAAAACUUAAAAUUAAUAUCGGAUUGAAACUAUAAUUUUACAAAGCGUUUUUCUUUCAACACAUAAACAAAGUAAACAUUAAGUCCCCGGUACUUAACUAUAUCGUAUGAUCCGUUGGUGAGAUCCAAAGACACCCGAAGGCAUAAACAAAACAGAGGCACCCGAAGGUGCAACAAAACAAAGGCGCGGAUAAGCGCAGGCACCCGAAGGCGCAAACAAAACAGAGGCGCGGAUAGGCACAGGCACCCGAAGGCGCAAUACAAAGACGAAGCUUGCUUCUAUAACAAAAUACAUGUCGACAUGGCCAACAUAGCAUAGCAGAAUACCAGGAGACAUCAUAAUUCAAAAAUUAUCCAGUCACUAAUUUACAAAACAGAAAACAGAUUAUCAAAUUUCAAAAAGUUUAUUUUGCUAAAAGGAUCUGUCAAUCACAGUUGAAGCUCAAUUUACAGAAAUAUUUAAUAAUAUGCUUAACCCUUAAUUUUAAAAUCUACAAAAUAAGAUUUUCAUUCAAUCGGAAUAUUUUUCUAAAUUAUCUUACGAAAAACUAACGGGUGUCCGGUCGCUUAUCUUAACACGGCUUCAAAGAUGAAAUUUAUCCAGUCAAAACUGUGCAGAAAAUUGAUCGUCGGAACCUAAAAUAGAGACAUGCAAUUCUCUAUAAACUAUCUAAAAUGAACAUGCAAGGAUAAUAUAAUGGUAUGCAAAUAGGUCGGGAGGGAGCACGAGGGAUUUGGAACAAUAAAAUCGACGAAUUUCAACUAGCGAUCAAAAGGAUGAAGGAGUUUCAAAGAUUAAAAUAUUCCAGGAAGCAAGAUAACAUGAAUGGAGUUUUAAAUAAUAAACGGAGGAUCUAAUGCUCAAAAAGAGGGUUUUCAGAUGUUAAAAUAUUAAUAGGCAAUUUACAAUCGAAUGAGAUCAAAAUUAGAAACAAAUGAAAUUCGCCCUCUCAUAGGCGUUUCAUCGAACAUAUAAUGGGCAUUCCAAAAAUGUGUAAAAUGUGUGUAGUUUAUACAACUAGAUUUUAUGAAGGAUGAGAGAUAUAAAAUUUGACAGUUUAAACGGCAAGAACAGAUCACAACGAAUCAGAUUUCUAAUGGUUUAAUCCCAAACAUUAAAAUAUAGGUAUUCAAAAUAACCAUACAACAAUGAAUAAAGAAUCAGAUCUUAUCAAGAAUAAGUGUAAGGAAAUAAAAGAAAAGACCUUGAAGGCGGAAAAACAAUGACGAAUCAAAAUAUCGAUGGAUGAGGAUUACGGCGGAGGCGGCUACGGGUGAUGGCGACGACGGCUAUGAUCAGAGGGCGUCGCGCACGCACGGGCGAAACAGUGGAGGCCGUACGGACAUGGAGAGGAGAGCGAGCGAGCGGGAGAGAGAGAUGGUCGAAUGAGGGAGAGAGAUAGAUGGAUCGGGUGGGGGUAGGCUCGUAUGAAUAGAAAGGAUUUAAUUAGUUAGGGCUAAUUAAACAACAAUAUGCCGCCGAGUCCCUUGAAGAUCCGAAUUUACGAAAUGGUCCAAACUUAAAGUGAAUUGGAGUCAAAACAAAAAGUUAAGAGUGUGGGGUGUUACAUCCACCCCUCCUAAAAGGAGUUUAGUCCUCUAAACUAAACACACCUUAGCUCUCAAAGAGUUGGAGAUGCUUCUUCCUCAUCUGCUCUUCAAGUUCCCAAGUAGCUUCUCGUUUGGAAUGGUUGCUCCACUGGACUUUAACAUAUGGGAUGGUCUGCCUCCUCAAAACUUGCUCCUUUCGGUCCACAAUACGUAUCGGUUGUUCGUCAUAAGACAGAUCUUCUCUAAGCUGCAAAGGUUCUGGCACUACCACGUGGCUCGGAUCGUGAACGUAUUUUCUCAACAUAGAUACAUGAAAUACGUUGUGCACUCCAGCUAAAGAAGGCGGUAAGGCAAGUCUGUACGCUACGUCACCAAUUCUUUCAAGUAUCUCAAAAGGGCCCACAUAACGAGGGCUAAGCUUCCCACGGAUUCCAAAGCGCAUAAUACUUCUUGAGGGUGACACUUUCAAGAAGACACGGUCUCCGACUUCAAACUCGAGCGGUCUUCUUCGAUUAUCGGCGUAGCUCUUCUGCCGACUCUGAGCUGCUCUGAGAUGCUCCUUAAUCAAAUGAACCUUCUCAAUAGUUUGCUGCACAAUUUCCGGGCCAAGUAGCUUUCUCUCACCAACAUCAUCCCAACACAGAGGGGAUCUACACUUCUUUCCAUACAAAGCUUCGAAGGGAGCCAUUUGAAUGCUGGCCUGGAAGCUAUUAUUGUAGGCAAACUCAACCGAUGGUAGGUGAUGAUCCCAAGAGCCUUUCAUAUCGAUUACACAAGAGCGUAACAUGUCUUCUAAAAUUUGAAUCGUCCUCUCGGACUGGCCAUCUGUCUGCGGAUGGAAGGCGGUACUGAAGUCCAGUGUGGUUCCCAAAGCUUUAUGUAAUCCUUUCUAGAAGUGAGCCACGAACCUUGAAUCACGAUCAGACAUGAUCGAAACUGGAACACCAUGUAGACGUACUAUUUGUGCAAUAUAGAGCUCCGCUAGUUUCUCCAAAGUCAUACCCGUAUUUACAGCCAGAAAGUGCGCUGACUUAGUCAAUCUAUCAACUAUGACCCAAAUCGCGUCAUUGCUCUUCUCACUUCUAGGUAGUCGAGUAACAAAAUCCAUAGUUAUUCUCUCCCAUUUCCACUUAGGAAUAGGAAGGGGCUGAAGUAAGCCGGCUGAUCUCUACUUAUCGACUUUCACACGCUGGCAAGUCAAACACUUAGCCAUGAACUCUGCAAUCUCCCUUUUCAUAUUACUCCACCAGAAGACGUUCUUCAAAUCUCUGUACAUUUUGGUUCCUCCAGGGUGCACUGAAUAUCCCGAAUAAUGAGCCUCUUUCAAAAUUUCAUUUUUAAAGUCCGAAUCCUUAGGAACGCAUAACCGAUUCCUAAAUCUCAAGGAGCCAUCUUCGUGAAUUCUAAACUCUGAUUGUGCUCCUGAUUCCACUAAAUGUCGAGUUUUCUGAAGAUGUAUAUCAUUCGCCUGGGCUGACUUGAUCCUAUCAAUCAGUGUAGGUUGAACCUGCAGGUUAGCCAGAUGAGCUUCAGACCAAUGGAUGUGAAUUUCUAUGUCGAGCCGUCUGAGAUCCUCUAAAAUAUGUCGCUGAGAAGUAACCAAUGUCGCUAUAUUCUCUAUUGAUUUUCUGCUGAGGGCAUCGGCUACGACGUUGGCUUUGCCCGGAUGAUACUUGAUGGUCACAUCGUAGUCUUUCAACAAUUCUAGCCACCUCCUUUGUCUCAUAUUCAGUUCUUUUUGUGUGAAGAUGUAUUUUAAACUUUUGUGGUCGGUAAAAAUCUCACAAGGCUCGCCGUAGAGGUAAUGUCUCCAAAUUUUCAGUGCAAAGAUUACUGCUGCCAAUUCUAAGUCGUGGGUUGAGUAGUUCUCCUCAAAUGGCCUCAGCUGUCGGGAAGCAUAGGCAAUCACUUUAUCAUUCUGCAUCAGGACGCAUCCCAAUCCUUUCUUCGAGGCAUCACUGUAAAUAGUGAAUCCCUCACCACUAAUAGGUAAGGUAAGGAUAGGUGCUGAUAUUAAGCGUUUCUUCAACUCCAAAAAGCUUUGUUCGCAUUUAUCCGACCACUGAAAUUUAACUCCUUUUCGUGUCAACUGAGUCAAUGGUGCAGCAAGGCGGGAGAAACCUUUCACAAAUCUUCUAUAGUAUCCUGCUAAACCCACGAAACUCUGAACCUCAGUGACAUUGCUUGGUCGUGGCCAAUUUUUCACAGCUUUUAUCUUUGUAGGAUCUACUGAAAUACCUUCCUUAGACACAAUAUGUCCAAGAAAGGAAACACUUUGCAACCAAAAUUCACACUUUUUAAACUUAGCGUAGAGCUUCCUUUUUCGAAGAGUUUCCAAAACUAUCCUGAGAUGUUUCCUAUGCUCAGCUGAACUGCUAGAGUACACCAGAAUGUCGUCUAUGAAUACGACAACAAACUUAUCCAAGAAGGGUUUGAAUACUUUAUUCAUCAGAUCCAUGAAAGCGGCUGGAGCGUUAGUCAAUCCAAAAGGCAUUACCAGAAACUCGUAAUGCCCAUAGCGUGUGCGAAAAGCAGUUUUGCGUAUAUCUUCGGCUCUGACCUUCAGCUGAUGGUAUCCUGAUCGUAGAUCAAUCUUGGAAAAGACUUCUGCACCGCGAAGCUGAUCAAAUAAGUCGUCGAUUCUCGGUAAGGGGUAUCGAUUCUUCACAGUCAUUCUGUUUAGCUCACGAUAAUUGAUACAUAAUCUCAUAGUACCAUCCUUCUUUUUGACGAAAAGUACUGGAGUGCCCCAAGGGGAGACACUUGGUCUAAUGAAUCCCUUGUCCAGAAGUUCCUGAAGUUGCACUUGCAAUUCCUUGAGCUCAACUGGUGACAUCCGGUAAGGUGUGUUUGAAAUUGGAUAUGUUCCUGGAGCUAAAUCAACACGAAAUUCAAUCUCCCUAUCUGGCGGUAGUCCAAGGAGGUCCUCUGGAAAAACAUCCGGAAAUUCAUUUACUAUCGGGAUGUCUUCUAAUCUCGGAGUAAUUAAAUUCAGAUCUUUCACCAGAGCCACAAAUCCAGCGCAGCCACUCCUUAAGAGAUGAGUAGUCUGAAAUGAAGAAAUAAUCGAAGGUGGAGUGUAAGCUCCAUUCCCAAGAAAAGCAAAAUUUGCCUUCCCAGGAAUGUUGAAUUCCACCCGCUUCUCCCGACAAUUCAAAGUAGCAAAGUGGGACGAAAGCCAGUCCAUCCCCAAAAUCACAUCAAAGUCUCGCAUGUCCAUAACAUGGAGAUUUGCCAAUAAGCUCCUAUUAUCCAAUUUGACCAUGCUCCUACAAACUCGGUCAAUCACAAACUCCUCCCCCAAAGGCGUACCAACACAUAAAGUAUAAUCCAAAGGUUCAAAGGUUAACAUAGACUUUCGAACAAAAGCAGAAGAUACAAAAGAAUGUGUAGCUCCAGAAUCAAAGAGAACAUAGGCAAAAGCAGAAUUUACUGGCAGAAUACCUAAGACCACGGCAUUAGAUGCCUGGGCAUCCUGCUGAGAGAGAGCCUGGACACGACCUUGCGUCCGAGGCCUUCCACCUCUAGGCUGACCAGUAGGAGGGGCACGAUCACGACCGGCUGAAGCAGCAAAUUUCUCCUGAGGCUUGGAUCCAGUGCUAGAGUCAGUGCUAAGUAAAGGGCACUGAGCUAUCCGAUGGUUCAAGUCGCCGCAUCUGAAGCAACCGACAGUCACAUGUCUGCAGUCGGAAUCCUUAUGCGACCCUCCACAAACUAAGCAUUUCGACUUCUGAUCCCGAUUUGGUGGUCCACCAUGAGGAGCUGGCGUAUUACGCGAUCUCCCAGAAUCACUAGAUCUGUCCGACCCUCUUGCAUUCCGAUCUCCCUUUCUGAAAGAAUCUCUAUUUCUCUUCUUCUGAUUUGCAUUGCGCUCCUCUCGAGUCUGUCUCCAUACUGAAUCUAAGGAUUUUGCUCUUGAAACAACUUCGUCGUAUGUCUCAAGGUGUAGAGGCGCGAGACCAGUACGGAUUUAUCCAUUCAGUCCUUUUUCAAACCUUUUGCCCUGCGAUUCAUUUUCAUCCACCAAUUUCGGAGCAAAUUGAGAGAGUCGAUCAAACUCGGCCUCGUACUCCCCUACAGACAUGGACCCUUGCUUUAGAUCUAGGAAUUGCCUCUCGAGCUGGCGAAGUUUACUCCUUGGAAAGUACUUAGCAUAAAACGCCGAUCGAAAAUCCUUCCACGAAAUGGCUGAUAAAACGCUACUGCGAGUCCUCAACUCGCUUUCCCACCAAUUAUUCGCUCUGCCCUGAAGCAUGAAGGUCCUGAAUCUGACCUUCUCUUCAUCGGUGCACUGCAUUGCCGUAAAUGCUUUUCCAUCUCCUUGAUCCAAUUUUCCGCUUCGUCCGGGUUUGUAGCGCUCGAAAAAGGUGGAGGAGCAGACUUCUUAAAUUCGUUGAUGCUCCUCUCUCGAACUCUGGAACUUGGCUCCGCGGCACUAGGAACCGGAUUCUGUUGUAAAUUUUGUUGCUGAGUCUGAACUAGCCCGACCACAGCUUGUAUCAGGGUAGCGACCAGGGGAUCCAUUGUGGUGCUCUGCGGUAAAGUGGCGGAGUGGGUGGGAAUAGUAGGUUGUGGCGGCGGUGGAACAAAACCAGAAGGUGCAGUCGACGGCGGAAAUGAAAAGGUAGUGGGAGCGGCCGUCGAAGGUAUCCCCGUACUAAAAGUCUGCUGCAGCGGUGGAACAAAAGCCGAAGGGUUCGUUGGAGGCGCUAUAGUUGACUGAAGCGGAUUUUGGAUAGGUGGAACGGCUGCCGAGGACGUGGUAUUCAAAAGUAAGGCUAAGGUGACGUCUAGAUCUGCAUCUCCGGAUCUGGCUGGAGGCGGGUUCCUCGGUUGCUCAUUAUUGGUGUUGCCACGACGGGUCGGACGCACCAUCUUAACAGGAGAGGAUAUCACAAACACGUAAAUGCAAAACAUUAACGAAAACUGUAAACAAUAAUCAAAUAGAAUCAAACACGCGCCUACUUUUUACCCAUCCUCACACGUCCUAAUAAACUCUCACAAUCCUAUACCUUAAAGUUACAAAAGAUCUUAAACCUAGGCUCUGAUACCAUUUAUCUGUCACGCCCCAAACCCGAGGCAUAACAGACGCCGCAUAUCUACUAAUUUAAUAAAUAUGCAAGGCUACAGAAUCAGACAAAAUACAUACAAAAGAUGAUCAUAAAAAUAGAAAUCCAAACUGUCGAAAGAUGAGGUCAUCAAUUUAAUUUCAACUAGAAUCAAAGAAAAUCACAUAUAAGCAGAAAUAUAGUUUAUUAUGCAAUUCAAACAAAAUUUAGUCUAACUAGUGCUUUAAGUAACAAAUAUGGGUACGAUGAAAUAACAAAGUAGAAACAGAUAAACAAUGAUUAUCUACGAAGUUCAAAGU